GACGAACGCUGGCGGCGUGCUUAACACAUGCAAGUCGAACGGAAAGGCCCUGCUUUUGUGGGGUGCUCGAGUGGCGAACGGGUGAGUAACACGUGAGUAACCUGCCCUUGACUUUGGGAUAACUUCAGGAAACUGGGGCUAAUACCGGUUCGGAGCUCCUGCUGCAUGGUGGGGGUUGGAAAGUUUCGGCGGUUGGGGAUGGACUCGCGGCUUAUCAGCUUGUUGGUGGGGUAGUGGCUUACCAAGGCUUUGACGGGUAGCCGGCCUGAGAGGGUGACCGGCCACAUUGGGACUGAGAUACGGCCCAGACGCCUACGGGAGGCAGCAGUGGGGAAUAUUGCACAAUGGGCGGAAGCCUGAUGCAGCAACGCCGCGUGCGGGAUGACGGCCUUCGGGUUGUAAACCGCUUGCGCCUGUGACGAAGCGUGAGUGACGGUAAUGGGUAAAGAAGCACCGGCUAACUACGUG
rnacentral:rRNA from 1 species